rfam:Exiguobacterium sp. AT1b, complete genome.
GUAGGGAAAUAGAAUUCCAAUGAAAGCCAAAUGACGAAUCGUUUACAAAUAUUUGAGAAAGUAUUUGUCACGCUUACAAGAAGGUGGUAAGAUUAGGCGUAGAGGACAACCCUCUGUAUUCUCCAAUGGUGAAAGGAAUGGAUUUACACAUGGUAGGUAAAGUAAAAUGGUUUAACUCAGAAAAAGGUUUUGGAUUCAUCGAAGUUGAAGGCGGCAAAGACGUGUUCGUACACUUCUCAGCAAUCCAAUCUGAAGGCUACAAAUCACUUGACGAAGGUCAAGAUGUAGAGUUUGAAAUCGUUGAUGGCGAGCGUGGCCCACAAGCGGCUAACGUUGUAAAAUUAUAAUUUCAAACCGUGAAGCCGGCUCCCUUGUGAGUCGGCUUUUUAU